rnacentral:rRNA from 1 species
AACGAACGCUGGCGGCAUGCCUAACACAUGCAAGUCGAACGAGACCUUCGGGUCUAGUGGCGCACGGGUGCGUAACGCGUGGGAAUCUACCCUUGGGUUCGGAAUAACUCAGAGAAAUUUGAGCUAAUACCGGAUGAUGUCGCAAGACCAAAGAUUUAUCGCCCAAGGAUGAGCCCGCGUAGGAUUAGCUUGUUGGUGAGGUAAAAGCUCACCAAGGCGACGAUCCUUAGCUGGUCUGAGAGGAUGAUCAGCCACACUGGGACUGAGACACGGCCCAGACUCCUACGGGAGGCAGCAGUGGGGAAUAUUGGACAAUGGGCGAAAGCCUGAUCCAGCAAUGCCGCGUGAGUGAUGAAGGCCUUAGGGUUGUAAAGCUCUUUUACCCGGGAUGAUAAUGACAGUACCGGGAGAAUAAGCCCGGCUAACUCCGUGCCAGCAGCCGCGGUAAAU